AGUCGAGGAUCUUCGGCAAUGGGCGCAAGCCUGACCGAGCGACGCCGCGUGUGCGACGAAGGCCUUCGGGUUGUAAAGCACUGUCGAGGGGGAGAAAACCGCAAGGUUGAUCUAUCCCUGGAGGAAGCACGGGCUAAGUUCGUGCCAGCAGCCGCGGUAAGACGAACCGUGCGAACGUUGUUCGGAAUCACUGGGCUUAAAGGGCGCGUAGGCGGGCUGUCAAGUCCGGGGUGAAAUCCUCCCGCUCAACGGGAGAACGGCCUCGGAUACUGACGGCCUCGAGGGAGAUAGGGGCACGCGGAACUGUGGGUGGAGCGGUGAAAUGCGUUGAUAUCCAUAGGAACUCCGGUGGCGAAGGCGGCGUGCUGGAUCUCUUCUGACGCUGAGGCGCGAAAGCCAGGGGAGCAAA
rnacentral:rRNA from 1 species